rnacentral:rRNA from 1 species
UACGUAGGGUGCGAGCGUUAAUUGGAAUUACUGGGCGUAAAGCGUGCGCAGGCGGUUUUGUAAGCCAGAUGUGAAAUCCCCGGGCUCAACCUGGGAAUUGCGAUGGAGACUGCAAGGCUAGAAUCUGGCAGAGGGGGGUAGAAUUCCACGUGUAGCAGUGAAAUGCGUAGAGAUGUGGAGGAACACCGAUGGCGAAGGCAGCCCCCUGGGUCAAGAUUGACGCUCAUGCACGAAAGCGUGGGGAGCAACAGG